GGUCUCUCUUUAUAUUUGAUAUGGUUCCUGCAACUGUGGUCCUCGAGGUUCUCUCCAAAUCGAAGCACCAAAGUUGUGCCAGGGGCUCCGAAUAUGAUAAUCUUGACUGCGAGAAGAAGAUCGUCCUUAACUUGGCAGUUCAUAAUGGAUCGGUAGUGAAGCCCCAUCUGUUCUUUUUGCUUUCCUUGUCACAAUUUCUUCGUCGCAUUUCUUGCGACGAACCCUAAUUUGUGAUUGUGGGAUGGGACACUCUUCGUCUUAUUUCAGCUCUGCUCGUCUGUUGAGAUAUGAAAGAUCAAUUUCAACUGAGUCGAAUCAUGUGGACGAGCCUCAUAAAUUGGAGGAAGUAGAAACUAUAAGAAAGCCACCUCCACCGUUAGAAAAGGUCUGGAAGAUCAUCAAUACGUGAACAAUGGGCUGAUAAAGUUGAGUGGCGCCAAGGUUGAAAAUUAAGAGAAGGCUCUUUCCCUGUGAAGGAAAAACAUAUAGUUCAGCUUUCUGUGGCUAAUCUUUCUAUUUGGCAGAAAGCCUUCUUGAAAUUCCAGUGACUUUUGUGGUGGUCCAAAAACGUAAUCACACUAGACUGUUUGCUAACAAACACGGUGACCACCGAUUUGUUGAUAAGAGUGGAAACAUAUUGCUUGGUUAGUUUAGU